rnacentral:rRNA from 1 species
UACAGAGGGUGCGAGCGUUAAUCGGAAUUACUGGGCGUAAAGCGUGCGUAGACGGUUAUUUAAGUCGGGUGUGAAAGCCCCGGGCUCAACCUGGGAAUUGCAUUCGAGACUGAAUAGCUAGGGUACGGUAGAGGGAAGUGGAAUUUCCGGUGUAGCGGUGAAAUGCGUAGAUAUCGGAAGGAACACCUGUGGCGAAAGCGGCUCACUGGACCAUAACUGACGCUGAGGCGCGAAAGCUAGGGGAGCAAACAGG